rfam:Toxocara canis scaffold533, whole genome shotgun sequence.
GCCUGAGUAGGGCAGUAGGAUAGCGCGUCAGUCUCAUAAUCUGAAGGUCGUCAGUUCAAGACCCACCUCGGGCA